AUGUUGACCUUUGACGCCACAGCCUCAGCUACCUCACACCAAUGGCGCUCAGGUGCACCAUCCAGCUCGCCAUCCCUACCGCGAUCCACCGCCUUGGCGGUUGCCGUGUCAUUGCCUGACCGGGUCACCGCGCUGUCCCUCCCGCCAUCAAAGGCGCCGUUCCUCAGCCGCCUCUUGCGGCUGCUGUCCACGACGGGGGUGCUGGCGUCAAACGAGGCUGGGAUCUACAGCCUCGUCCCACUAUCCUACCUUCUCAUGGAUGGUAUACUCGUUGAUGGAGAUGCUAGCCAGGCAGCUCUCGUGCUCUGCUUGACCUCGCGGUAUCACAUGGUGGCGGCUAUGGGGUUGGCCGACUGGUUCAAAAAGGAUAUCGCUCAACCCAUGCUGUCACCGUUCGAGGACUUUAAGGGCUACCACAUGGCACAUACGGUAAGCAAUCCAAGCUUGAUGAAACGUUUGGGGCGUGGUCGCGGCAAAACUAGUAUGUAA
rnacentral:rRNA from 1 species